UGGGGAAUUUUGGACAAUGGGCGAAAGCCUGAUCAGCCAUGCCGCGUGUGUGAAGAAGGCCUUCGGGUUGUAAAGCACUUUCAGCGAGGAGGAAGGUGGUGAGCUUAAUACGCUCAUCAAUUGACGUUACUCGCAGAAGAAGCACCGGCUAACUCCGUGCCAGCAGCCGCGGUAAUACGGAGGGUGCAAGCGUUAAUCGGAAUUACUGGGCGUAAAGCGCACGCAGGCGGUUUGUUAAGUCAGAUGUGAAAUCCCCGGGCUCAACCUGGGAACUGCAUUUGAAACUGGCAAGCUAGAGUCUCGUAGAGGGGGGUAGAAUUCCAGGUGUAGCGGUGAAAUGCGUAGAGAUCUGGAGGAAUACCGGUGGCGAAGGCGGCCCCCUGGACGAAGACUGACGCUCAGGUGCGAAAGCGUGGGGCAGCAAACAGGAUUAGAUACCCUGGUAGUCCACGCUGUAAACGAUGUCGAUUUUGGAGGUUGUGCCCCUUGAGGCGUGGCUUCCGGAGCUAACGCGUUAAAUCGACCGCCUGGGGAGUACGG
rnacentral:rRNA from 1 species